GUGGGGAAUCUUGCGCAAUGGGGGAAACCCUGACGCAGCGACGCCGCGUGGGCGAUGAAGGCCUUCGGGUCGUAAAGCCCUGUCGAGCGGGACGAACCGUGCAGGCUCUAACAUAGCUUGCAUCUGACGGUACCGCGAGAGGAAGCCCCGGCUAACUCCGUGCCAGCAGCCGCGGUAAUACGGAGGGGGCUAGCGUUGUUCGGAAUUAUUGGGCGUAAAGGGCGUGUAGGCGGCUUCGUAUGUCCCAUGUGAAAGCCCUCGGCUCAACCGGGGAACUGCGUGGGAAACUGCGAAGCUCGAGUCCGGGAGAGGAGAGUGGAAUUCCCAGUGUAGCGGUGAAAUGCGUAGAUAUUGGGAGGAACACCAGUGGCGAAGGCGGCUCUCUGGACCGGUACUGACGCUGAGACGCGAAAGCCAGGGGAGCAAACGGGAUUAGAUACCCUAGUAGUCC
rnacentral:rRNA from 1 species